GAUGAAGAACGCAGCGAAAUGCGAUACGUAAUGUGAAUUGCAGAAUUCAGCGAAUCAUCGAGUCUUUGAACGCACAUUGCGCCCCCUGGUAUUCCGGGGGGCAUGCCUGUCCGAGCGUCAUUGCUGCCCUCAAGCACGGCUUGUGUGUUGGGCCUCCGUCCUCCUCCCGGGGGACGGGCCCGAAAGGCAGCGGCGGCACCGCGUCCGGUCCUCGAGCGUAUGGGGCUUCGUCACCCGCUCUUGUAGGCCCGGCCGGCGCUUGCCGACACAUCAAUCUUUUUUCCAGGUUGACCUCGGAUCAGGUAGGGAUACCCGCUGAACUUAAGCAUAUCAAUAAGCGGAGA
rnacentral:misc_RNA from 1 species